UAAGCGCCCUGGUAACCGAGGGUCCCUUGUUGUCAUUUCCUUUAAUUUCUUUAUUUUAUCGAAAAUUUACCAAAAUAGGGAUCAAAAUGUCGGCUCGACGCGCCACCCACGCUGGCAGUUGGUACACGGACUCUGCGACCGAGUUAUCCCGGCAACUGGAAGGGUGGCUAGGACAGGCUGACUUAUCCCAUGGCCCAGCAAGAGCAAUCAUUGCGCCACAUGCUGGGUACCAGUACAGUGGGGCAGUAGGUGCCCAUGCCUACCGACAAGUUUCACCAGUUGUUGUGAAACGAAUAUUUGUUUUGGGUCCUUCACACCAUGUACGUUUGUCAGGCUGUGCACUCUCAUCUCAUAGCAAGUACCGCACCCCUUUCUACGAUCUCAUAGUUGAUCAGCAAGUGUACAAUGAAUUGUAUCAGACAGGCCACUUUGAGACGAUGAGUGUAUCAGCAGAUGAGGACGAGCACAGCAUUGAAAUGCACUUGCCCUACAUAGCGAAGGUUAUGGAAGAUUUCCGGGACCAGUUCACCAUUGUCCCCAUCCUAGUUGGGUCACUCACGCCGGAGCGAGAAGUACACUAUGGGAGGCUGCUUGCGCCCUACCUUGCAGACCCUCAGAGCUUAUUUGUGAUCUCCUCUGACUUCUGCCACUGGGGUCAGCGCUUCCGUUACACCUACUACGACCGCUCUGUCGGGGAGAUCUGGCAGUCGAUACAGAAGCUCGACAAGCAGGGGAUGAACUUGAUUGAGACUUUAAACCCGAGUGCCUUUACCGAGUACCUGAAAAAGUACGGCAACACCAUCUGUGGCCGCCAUCCUAUUGGCGUCUUGCUCAAUGCGGUUGCAACUCUCCAAAAGACAAGCAAUGGCCACCGCAUGUUGCUCAAAUUUCUGCAAUAUGCCCAGUCUUCGCAAUGCUACACUUCAUCUGAUUCUUCCGUGUCGUAUGCUGCCGCCUCUCUCAUAUUUGAAUAAACCUUAGGUGCCCUUGCGUGAGGCGUAUUCUUGAGGUGGAGUGUGAUAGCUUGAGAGUGGAUUUUGACGGCAACAUUAGCAAGACGAAAAGAAUGGGAGAAAAUGGAUUUACUUGGGGACAGAGAGACAACACAAAAGGUACGCAACUCUUGGUCUUGAAACUGAUGUUACGGUUUUCAAAAUGUGCACGGAUAAAGUGUGUCCCUUUGAUUGACAAAGAAAUGAGGCUAUGAAAUCAAACCAACAUUGAAGAGAAAAGAUAAACCAAAAGAAAAGUGCCUGUAAUUUUCAAGUUUACUUAAUUCCCAUAAGCUGUUUUAUUUAUUAUUAUUUAUUGGUUAAAAAGCCAAAGUUUACCAAGUUCCUUAAUUUAAGAUAUCAUUCAAUUGGUGUUGUGAAAUAGGUGAUAUUUAGUAUCUUUUAGCUUUGAGAAUGGUGAAUAUAGAAUAAGUGCAAAGGAUAACAGAAAAGGGAGAUAAAAUAUUCAGAGACAAUAAGUAGGAUAGUGGAAUCUAAAAUUUUGAAAAAAAAAAGAAAUCUGCUAAAUUUAAAAGCUGAAAAUUAUUAACAAGGAAAGUACCGUGGUAACUAUUUGUUUGAUAGCCUCUUUGUAAAUAUUUAGUACAUGUAACUAAAGAUUAUAUUUCAUUUUAUGAUUGUUUUGUAUUUUAGUUCAAUAUAGAGCUAUACUUAUUUUGAGAAAUCUUAUAUUUUAACUCAUUAGUACAAAGAUUAUCUUCUUAUACUACUGGAUGAUUGUAGAUGAUUUUCUUAUAGCUUACAAUUAUUUUUUCAUAUGUUAAAAGAUUUAUUAAAGGAGAGUAGUUUUGCAGUACACCAUGAAAUAUCGUAAACCUCUACUGACUGGCUGUGUAUGCAUCAUCUAGGUUGCACAUUAAUACUAGAAAGAAUCUCUUAAAAAUUCUAAAUGAAAUUGCUUGUGCAUAUAUUUGCUACUGAAAAAAAUUAACAAUAGUACUUAGAAGACACCAAAUUUCAGACCAGCAAAAUAUUUUGCUGGAAUUGGAAUCCCUUAAGUUCAAUAUGAGUUGCAAUAUAGUGUGUAGAAUUUGAGCUGGAACAAACUGCAUGAAGGAACACAGAUGAAUAUGGACAUGUAUGCUAAUGAUAUAACAGUGUAGAUUGUUGCCCUUUAUAUUGCAUUUUUAUAGAAUUUCCAAGGGAAAAUGUUACAAGUUUGUAAUACCCUAAGAGUUCUUAAUAUGACCUAAGUUUUUUUGUACAGUUUGUGAGAUCGGAUGGUAUGUGUACAUUUGCUUAGGUUUGCUAUGAGAUAAAAGAGGUGGCUGCAAAAUGGUGUAAAAAGCCCAGUUCCUGCCUGUUAUAAAAACAAAGCCUGGCACUUUAAAAUGAUGCCAGAAUGACUGUACUUUAAUGUUUAGCUUUUAAUUUAUGAAUCAAUAUUUUUUGUUAAGAAAUUUGAAUGUUUUCAUGCUCACAUCCAGUAAUCCAUUUUAUUUUUGUCAAUGAUAUUUAAUGCAUGUAUUAUUGGCUCACCAGAUAUUUCUGUAUGUACUGUCUAAACUUACUCUCUCUUUCUUCCAUUAUUCCAUGCAAACCAUUGAAAUAUCAUUUCUUCAAGUUGCCAGAACAUACAUCAUACCUUUUCCGACUUGUUCAUUUUAUUUAAGGAAUUUACGUUACAUCACAUUUGCCGAGUUAUUUUAGCAGUAGUGGACACAUAACUGCAGACCUUUCAGACAGUAUACAGUAGAAAUAUUACAAAGAAAAAGUCCAGAGACCUUAUCAGUGUUGCCAUCAAGACUGUUACUUUCCACUUUAUCUCUUGUCUUUCUCACAUUUUACUGACUAUAUGCCUAAUGUUAAGACAACGUGCCUGUAGAGAAGUUGUAUAAAGAUACUGUUAUAGGAACUUGUACACAAAUGAACCAGGGCCACAUUGUUGGUAAUGCUAAUAAAGAUCAGAUUUGCA